GACGAACGCUGGCGGCGUGCUUAACACAUGCAAGUCGAACGGAAAGGCCCUGCUUUUGUGGGGUGCUCGGGUGGCGAACGGGUGAGUAACACGUGAGUAACCUGCCCUUGACUUUGGGAUAACUUCAGGAAACUGGGGCUAAUACCGGAUAGGAGCUCCUGCUGCAUGGUGGGGGUUGGAAAGUUUCGGCGGUUGGGGAUGGACUCGCGGCUUAUCAGCUUGUUGGUGGGGUAGUGGCUUACCAAGGCUUUGACGGGUAGCCGGCCUGAGAGGGUGACCGGCCACAUUGGGACUGAGAUACGGCCCAGACUCCCACGGGAGGCAGCAGUGGGGAAUAUUGCACAAUGGGCGGAAGCCUGAUGCAGCAACGCCGCGUGCGGGAUGACGGCCUUCGGGUUGUAAACCGCUUUCGCCUGUGACGAAGCGUGAGUGACGGUAAUGGGUAAAGAAGCACCGGCUAACUACGUG
rnacentral:rRNA from 1 species